rnacentral:tRNA from 1 species
GAGCGCAUAGCUCAGUGGUAGAGCACAUGCUUGGCACGCAUGAGGUCCUGGGUUCAAUCCCCAGUCCCUCCA